rnacentral:rRNA from 1 species
AUUGAACGCUGGCGGCAGGCUUAACACAUGCAAGUCGAACGAUGAAGAUAUAGCUUGCUAUAUCGGAUUAGUGGCGGACGGGUGAGUAACACUUAGGAAUCUACCUUUUAGCGGGGGAUAGCUCGGGGAAACUCGAAUUAAUACCGCAUAAUUUCUACGGAAUAAAGAGGGCUUUUAGCUCUCACUAGAAGAUGAGCCUAAGUAAGAUUAGCUAGUUGGUGGGGUAAAAGCCUACCAAGGCGACGAUCCUUAGCUGGUCUGAGAGGAUGAUCAGCCACACUGGGACUGAGACACGGCCCAGACUCCUACGGGAGGCAGCAGUGGGGAAUAUUGGACAAUGGGGGCAACCCUGAUCCAGCCAUGCCGCGUGUGUGAAGAAGGCCUUUUGGUUGUAAAGCACUUUAAGCAGUGAAGAAGACCUAUUGGUUAAUACCCAAUAGCGAUGACAUUAACUGCAGAAUAAGCACCGGCUAACUCUGUGCCAGCAGCCGCGGUAAUACAGAGGGUGCAAGCGUUAAUCGGAAUUACUGGGCGUAAAGCGAGCGUAGGUGGUUAAAUAAGUCAGAUGUGAAAGCCCUGGGCUCAACCUAGGAACGGCAUCUGAAACUAUUUAACUAGAGUAGGUGAGAGGGAAGUAGAAUUUCAGGUGUAGCGGUGAAAUGCGUAGAGAUCUGAAGGAAUACCGAUGGCGAAGGCAGCUUCCUGGCAUCAUACUGACACUGAGGCUCGAAAGCGUGGGUAGCAAACAGG